CCUUACCAAGGCUUGACAUAUACAGGUAUACGUCAGAGAUGUCGUAGCGGUUAAACGUCUGUAUACAGGUGGUGCAUGGUUGUCGUCAGCUCGUAUCGUGAGAUGUUGGGUUAAGUCCCGCAACGAGCGCAACCCUCGUUCUGUCUUGCCAGCAUUUAGUUGGGGACUCACAGGAGACUGCCGGGUUAACUCGGAGCAAGCUGGGGAUGACGUCAAAUCAUCAUGCCCCUUAUGUCUUGGGAUGCACGCAUGCUACAAUGGCUGGUACAAAGGGCUGCAAUACUGCAAAGUGGAGCGAAUCCCAGAAAGCCAGUCUCAGUUCGGAUUGGGGUCUGCAACUCGACCCCAUGAACUCGGAGUAGCCAGUAAUCGUAGAUCAGCAACGCUACGGUGAAUACGUUCCCGGGGCUGUACACACCGCCCGUCACAUCAC
rnacentral:rRNA from 1 species